AAAACAUGUCCUUUAGUAAUUGUUGUAUUUAAGGUUUAACCUGCUCAAUGAUUUAUUUAAAUAGCCGCAGUAUUUUAACUGUGCUAAGGUAGCAUAAUCACUUGUCUUUUAAUUGUUGGCUUGUAUGAAUGGUUGGACGAGGAACUUACUUUCUUUUUUUUAGUUUGUUUGAAUUUAACUUUUAAAUUAAAAGGUUUAAAUUUUAUUAAGGGACGAGAAGACCCUAUAGAUUUUUAUAAUUAAGUUAUUUGUUAUUUUUUGUUUAUGUUUUUUAUAAUUAAUUUAAUUAUUUGGUUGGGGUGACUAAAGAAUUUCAAGAACUUCUUUUUUUAAUUUCAUUUAUUUAUGUUUUUAUGAUCCAUAUUUUGUUGAUUAUAAGAUUAAAUUACCUUAGGGAUAACAGCGUAAUUUUUUCGGAGAGUUCUUAUUGAUGAUAAAGUUUGCGACCUCGAUGUUGGAUUAAAAUAAGUUUUAGGUGUAGUUGUUUAAUGACUAGGUCUGUUCGACCUUUAAAUUUUUACAUGAUCUGA
rnacentral:rRNA from 1 species